UACGUAGGGGGCAAGCGUUGUCCGGAUUUACUGGGCGUAAAGAGCGUGUAGGCGGCCACGCAGGUCCGUUGUGAAAACUGGAGGCUCAACCUUCAGACGUCGACGGAAACCGUGUGGCUAGAGUCCGGAAGAGGAGAGUGGAAUUCCUGGUGUAGCGGUGAAAUGCGCAGAUAUCAGGAAGAACACCAAUAGCGAAGGCAGCUCUCUGGGACGGUACUGACGCUGAGACGCGAAAGCGUGGGGAGCGAACAGG
rnacentral:rRNA from 1 species